rnacentral:rRNA from 1 species
GACGAACGCUGGCGGUGUGCCUAAUACAUGCAAGUUGAGCGCUGAAGGUUGGUACUUGUACCAACUGGAUGAGCAGCGAACGGGUGAGUAACGCGUGGGGAAUCUGCCUUUGAGCGGGGGACAACAUUUGGAAACGAAUGCUAAUACCGCAUAAAAACUUUAAACACAAGUUUUAAGUUUGAAAGAUGCAAUUGCAUCACUCAAAGAUGAUCCCGCGUUGUAUUAGCUAGUUGGAGAGGUAAAGGCUCACCAAGGCGAUGAUACAUAGCCGACCUGAGAGGGUGAUCGGCCACAUUGGGACUGAGACACGGCCCAAACUCCUACGGGAGGCAGCAGUAGGGAAUCUUCGGCAAUGGACGAAAGUCUGACCGAGCAACGCCGCGUGAGUGAAGAAGGUUUUCGGAUCGUAAAACUCUGUUGGUAGAGAAGAACGUUGGUGAGAGUGGAAAGCUCAUCAAGUGACGGUAACUACCCAGAAAGGGACGGCUAACUACGUG